GACAGAGGUGCCGAGCGUUAGGCGGAAUCACUGGGCUUAAAGCGUGUGUAGGCGGACCCGUCAGUGUCUUGUGAAAUCCCACGGCUCAACCGUGGAACGGCUGGGCAUACUGCGGGUCUUGAGACACCUAGGGGCAGCCGGAACAAGCGGUGGAGCGGUGAAAUGCGUAGAUAUCGCUUGGAACGCCGAAGGUGAAAACAGGCUGCUGGGGUUGCGCCGACGCUGAGACACGAAAGCCAGGGAGGCAAACGGG
rnacentral:rRNA from 1 species